CUGAUUGUCCCUGCCAGUAGAAAGGAAGCUCCGUAAGGUCAGGGACCCCCGUCUCGUUCCAUGUCUAGCCCAGUGCCUGGCCCAUGUGGACCUCAGCAACUGUGGUGGAUGCUGCGAUGAGAGGCCCCGGGAGACCCCUCCAGUGACAGGCUGGGUGUCCCAGUUGUUCAGGGUGUGGUAAGCGGCCUUCAGCCAUCAGCUGCAACUCGCCAGGGUCACACCCUUCCCUGGGACAGCCCACAUUGCAAAGUCCUGGACAUCCUGGUCCAACCGAGGACAGCCCUGAGGACCACUUCUGUGGCAGAGCUCCCUGUGGGGGACCAGUAGCCGCUGUGCUUGAUGGCAUCACAGCCCCACUCCUGCCUCUUGUGUCUUCCCCUCCACAGGUCCAACACCACUCCGUGAAAGUCUGCUCCCCACCUAGGAGCCCCCUCGAGCCACAGCAGCCUUGCCAGCUGGACAAGGA